UAUUCUUUGCCGCCGGGCAGAGAUAACUUAUAAGCAUUCGGAUUUCAUACCAUUAGGCCUUUGAAGGUAUGAAAGUCGGGUGAUUUUUUAU
rnacentral:ncRNA from 1 species